GAUGAACGCUGGCGGCGUGCCUAAUACAUGCAAGUCGAGCGAACAGACGAGGAGCUUGCUCCUCUGACUUUAGCGGCGGACGGGUGAGUAACACGUGGAUAACCUACCUAUAAGACUGGGAUAACUUCGGGAAACCGGAGCUAAUACCGGAUAAUAUAUUUAACCGCAUGGUUCAUUAGUGAAAGCCGGUUUUGCUGUCACUAUUAGAUGGAUCCGCGCCGCAUUAGCUAGUUGGUAAGGUAACGGCUUACCAAGGCAACGAUGCGUAGCCGACCUGAGAGGGUGAUCGGCCACACUGGAACUGAGACACGGUCCAGACUCCUACGGGAGGCAGCAGUAGGGAAUCUUCCGCAAUGGGCGAAAGCCUGACGGAGCAACGCCGCGUGAGUGAUGAAGGUCUUCGGAUCGUAAAACUCUGUUAUUAGGGAAGAACAAAUGUGUAAGUAACUAUGCACGUCUUGACGGUACCUAAUCAGAAAGCCACGGCUAACUACGUG
rnacentral:rRNA from 1 species